rnacentral:snRNA from 1 species
AUCACUUCUCAGCCUUUUGGCUAAGAUCAAGUGUAGUAUCAAAGCCACAAUGAGACACCACUUCACACCCAUAAGGAAAAGGGUAAUUUUAAAAAUAUCAAGUAAAUUCUUUAAAAGAAUGUAGAGAAACUGGAACUUUC